CAGCAGCCGCGGGAAAACGUAGGGUGCAAGCGUUAAUCGGAAUUACUGGGCGUAAAGCGUGCGCAGGCGGUGUUGUAAGACUGAUGUGAAAUCCCCGGGCUCAACCUGGGAACUGCAUUGGUGACUGCAACGCUGGAGUGCGGCAGAGGGGGAUGGAAUUCCGCGUGUAGCAGUGAAAUGCGUAGAUAUGCGGAGGAACACCGAUGGCGAAGGCAAUCCCCUGGGCCUGCACUGACGCUCAUGCACGAAAGCGUGGGGAGCAAACAGGAUUAGAUACCCCGGUAGUCCCUGUCUCUUAUAC
rnacentral:rRNA from 1 species